GCCCACCCGGGGAAAACAUGCUUUACAGACUCGUCUCGAUUUUGAGCAAGCAAGCAUUUUUUCAUUUUUUUGAGUCAAAUGGCGAACCGCAAAGAGCAGGAGGAUAUUGAAACCACAAAUGAAACUCAUCAAAGAGCUGGAACUGGAGGGAAAGACAGUGGGGAGGCCACAGCAGCCUCAUGGCCUUUCUACGAAGAGAUGCAUGAGGUUUUGGGGUCCAGACCUUCAAUCCAGCCUCCA